rnacentral:rRNA from 1 species
UGAGGAAUAUUGGUCAAUGGGCGAUAGCCUGAACCAGCCAAGUCGCGUGAGGGAAGAGUGCCCUAUGGGUUGUAAACCUCUUUUUUACGGGGAGAAUAAAUACUACGUGUAGUAUGAUGCCAGUACCGUAAGAAUAAGCAUCGGCUAACUCCGUGCCAGCAGCCGCGGUAAUACGGAGGAUGCGAGCGUUAUCCGGAUUUAUUGGGUUUAAAGGGUGCGUAGGCGGUUUUUUAAGUUAGUGGUCAAAUAUCGGAGCUAAACUCCGUUCAGCCAUUAAAACUGGGGAACUAGAGGACAGUCGAGGUAGGCGGAAUAAGUUAAGUAGCGGUGAAAUGCAUAGAUAUAACUUAGAACUCCGAUAGCGAAGGCAGCUUACCAGAGUGUACCUGACGCUGAAGCACGAGAGCGUGGGUAUCGAACAGG